CCUACGGGAGGCAGCAGUAGGGAAUCUUGCUCAAUGGGGGAAACCCUGAAGCAGCAACGCCGCGUGGAGGAUGAAGGUUUUCGGAUUGUAAACCCCUUUUGUUAGAGAAGAUAAUGACGGUAUGUAACGAUUAACCACCGGCUAACUCCGUGCCAGCAGCCCCCGUAAUACUGAGGGUGCACGCGUUACUCGGAAUGACUGGGCGUAAAGAGGGCGGAGGCGGGACAGCAAGUCAGAUGUGAAAUCCUAUGGCUUAACCAUAGAACUGCAUUUGAAACUGGUAUUCUAGAGUGUGGGAGAGGUAGGUGGAAUGCGUGGUGUAGCGGUAAAAUCCGUAGAGAUCAAGAGGAAUACUCAUUGCGAAGGCGACCUGCUGGAACAUAACUGACGCUGAUGCGCGAAAGCGUGGGGAGCAAACAGGAUUAGAUACCCGUGUAGUC
rnacentral:rRNA from 1 species